AGGGGUUACGUUGGGCUGGUAGGGUAGGUGGGGAGGGGGUAAGUUGGGCUGGUGAUGAAAGGGGGUAAGUUGGGCUGGUGAGGAGGGAGAAUCAGUUGGGCUGGUAGGGUAGGUGAGGAGGGGGAAGUUGGGCUGGUGAGGUAGGUGAGGAGGGGGUGGUUGGUAGUUGGGCUGGUGAGGAGGGAAUCGGUAGGGUAGUGAGGGGGGGGUGGUAGUUGGGCUUGGUGAGGUGGUGAGGAGGGGGUAGUUGGGCUGGUGAGGGGGAUAUUGGGCUGUGGUAGGUGAGGAGGGGGUAGUUGGCUGGUGAGGUAGGUGGGGAGGGGUAGUUGGGCUGGU
rnacentral:lncRNA from 1 species